rnacentral:lncRNA from 1 species
GAGAAAUAAGAGUUCAAAUUUCUGGUCUCAGCUUUUCUGGCUUCUAAAAAUUUAAAAAUGCAUAUAAAGCAAACUGAACUCCUCCUCAGCCCUGACUAGCUAUCCCUUGUUCGGAGCCUUGUGAGUAGUUAGAGGCACAACUAAUGAGUUAAGUAUUUGGAUAGGGCCCUGUUAAUUUACAAAGAAUCUAAACCAACUCCCUUUUCCCUUCAUUUUUGCUGGACACAGUAGGAUCAUAACAAACAUGCAGUAUCCUUGCUUAUAAUUUCAGGCCUGCCCCUAACCAUUACUCUUCCCAAAAUUUUUUGGGUGUCACCUUGCCUCUGUUUAUCAGUGACUGCUUCUGCUACAGACAUGCAGCUGCAUCCAAUUCAGUUCCUAGCCUAUGUGUUUAUAUUUGACCUUGUCAUGUGGCAUUCAUCAUCAAUCCUUGAAGUUGUGUUUUUCACAGUUUUGGCUAGCAAAUAUCUAUGCAGUAUACCAUUUAACUUGAUUAAGUGUUGUUAUUCCAUUUACAUCUUCAACAAGGCGUGUGGCUGCCCAUAGAUCAUGCCUUGCUCAUCAUUCAGCAAGGCAACACCAUUUGCUUGGAAAUGCAGGGAAUACUUUACAAAAAAGCUGGAUAUUUGAAGCAGCAAAGCAUGAAGUUGAGAGAUCUGGCUCUGCUGAAAAUUACAGAUGUAUACACGUAUCGUGCAGCUUGGCUCUGCCAGUUCUUCCAGUGCAAACCUGCUCCCAGUAACUCUCCUGAAGGAGAGGAGUUUAAAGAAAUUCCAGCGUGGAAGGGAUUUACACUGUUACCAGCAGGAAGACGUUGCAAAUAGGAGACCGUCUUCUUACUAUACUGAAGGCGAUAGCUAAAAAGGAGAGGAAUUCAAAAUAAAAGGAAAAAAAAUCAAAUUUGUUCA